rnacentral:misc_RNA from 1 species
AACGGUCUAUACCUGCGGUACCUGCGGAGGGAUCAUUACCGAGUUAUCCAACUCCCAACCCCUGUGAAUCAUACCUUUAAUUGUUGCUUCGGCGGGACUUCGCGCCCGCCGGGGACCCAAACCUUCUGAAUUUUUUAAUAAGUAUCUUCUGAGUGGUUAAAAAAAAUGAAUCAAAACUUUUAGCAACGGAUCUCU